rnacentral:rRNA from 1 species
GGCGGCAUGCUUUACACAUGCAAGUCGAGCGGCAGCGCGGGGGCAACUCUGGCGGCGAGCGGCGGACGGGUGAGUAAUGCAUCGGAACGUAUCCCGUAGUGGGGGACAACCCAGCGAAAGCUGGGCUAAUACCGCAUAUGCUCUACGGAGGAAAGCGGGGGACUUCGCAAGGAGCCUCGCGCUAUGGGAGCGGCCGAUGUCCGAUUAGCUAGUUGGUGGGGUAAAGGCUUACCAAGGCGACGAUCGGUAGCUGGUCUGAGAGGAUGAUCAGCCACACUGGGACUGAGACACGGCCCAGACUCCUACGGGAGGCAGCAGUGGGGAAUUUUGGACAAUGGGGGCAACCCUGAUCCAGCCAUGCCGCGUGCGGGAAGAAGGCCUUCGGGUUGUAAACCGCUUUUGGUCGGGAAGAAAGGGUUCUCCCCAACAGGGGGGAUCGUUGACGGUACCGGCAGAAUAAGCACCGGCUAACUACGUGCCAGCAGCCGCGGUAAUACGUANGGUGCGAGCGUUAAUCGGAAUUACUGGGCGUAAAGCGUGCGCA